rnacentral:rRNA from 1 species
UUUGACGAGUCGAGUUGUUUGGGAAUGCAGCUCCAAGCGGGUGGUAAAUUCCAUCUAAAGCUAAAUACUGGCGAGAGACCGAUAGCGAACAAGUACUGUGAAGGAAAGAUGAAAAGCACUUUGAAAAGAGAGUGAAACAGCACGUGAAAUUGUUGAAAGGGAAGGGUAUUGCGCCCGACAUGGGGAUUGCGCUCCGCUGCCUCUCGUGGGCGGCGCUUUGGGCUUUCCCUGGGCCAGCAUCGGUUCUUGCUGCAGGAGAAGGGGUUCUGGAACGUGGCUCUUCGGAGU